rnacentral:rRNA from 1 species
AUUGAACGCUGGCGGCAGGCUUAACACAUGCAAGUCGAACGAGUGGCGGACGGGUGAGUAAUGCUUGGGAAUCUGGCUUAUGGAGGGGGAUAACGACGGGAAACUGUCGCUAAUCCCGCGUCCCAUAGGAUGAGCCCACGUGGGAUUAGGUAGUUGGUGGGGUAAUGGCCUACCAAGCCGACGAUCUCUAGCUGGUCUGAGAGGCUGAACGGCCACAUUGGGAAUUAGACACGGCCCAGACUCCUACGGGAGGCAGCAGUUGGGAAUCUUCCGCAAUGGACGAAAGUCUGACGGAGCAACUCCGCGGGAGUGAUGGCGGCCUUCGGGUUGUAAAGGUCGUUAAGCGGGACGACGGUACCGGAAGAGAAAGCAACGGCUAACUACGUGCCAGCAGCCGCGGUAAUUC